CUACGGGUUGCAGCAGUAAGGAAUAUUGCGCAAUGGAGGCAACUCUGACGCAGCCAUGCCGCGUGCAGGAAGAAGGCCUUAUGGGUCGUAAACUGCUUUUAUUUAGGAAUAAACCCCCGAACGUGUUCGGGGCUGAAGGUACUAAACGAAUAAGCACCGGCUAACUCCGUGCCAGCAGCCGCGGUAAUACGGAGGGUGCAAGCGUUAUCCGGAUUUAUUGGGUUUAAAGGGUGCGCAGGCGGGCUAUUAAGUCAGUGGUGAAAUCCCGGGGCUCAACUCCGGAACUGCCAUUGAUACUGAUAGUCUUGAGUUUGGUUGAAGUGGGCGGAAUGUAGCAUGCAGCGGUGAAAUGCAUAGAUAUGCUACAGAACACCAAUCGCGAAGGCAGCUCACUAGGCCAAAACUGACGCUCAUGCACGAAAGCGUGGGGAUCAAACAGGAUUAGAUACCCGCGUAGUC
rnacentral:rRNA from 1 species